rnacentral:rRNA from 1 species
UCGUGGGGUGACUUGUCUGCUUAAUUGCGAUAACGAACGAGACCUUCAUCUACUAAAUAGCCAGGCUAGCUUUGGCUGGUCGCCGGCUUCUUAGAGAGACUUUCGGCUCAAGCCGAAGGAAGUUGGAGGUAAUAACA